rnacentral:rRNA from 1 species
UACGAGAGGCCCAAACGUUAUUCGGAAUUACUGGGCUUAAAGAGUUCGUAGGCGGCAUGAAAAGUAGGGUGUGAAAGCCCUCGGCUCAACCGGGGAACUGCAUCUGAUACUGGAUGGCUUGAGAUUGGGAGAGGGAUGCGGAAUUCCAGGUGUAGCGGUGAAAUGCGUAGAUAUCAGGAGGAACACCUGUGGUGUAGACAGCUUACUGGACCAUUUCUGACGCUGAGACACGAAAGCGUGGGUAGCAAACAGG